UACGAACUGUGCGAACGUUAUUCGGAAUCACUGGGCUUAAAGGGUGCGUAGGCGGCCUGUUAAGCAGGGUGUGAAAUGCCAGGGCUCAACCUUGGCAUGGCGCCCUGAACUGGCGGGCUUGAGUGAGCUAGGGGUGUGUGGAACUUCCGGUGGAGCGGUGAAAUGUGUUGAGAUCGGAAGGAACACCGGUGGCGAAAGCGACACACUGGGGCUUAACUGACGCUGAGGCACGAAAGCCAGGGUAGCGAACGGG
rnacentral:misc_RNA from 1 species